rnacentral:piRNA from 1 species
UACUACUAUAACAAAGGCUACUGAGACU